rnacentral:sRNA from 1 species
AUGUACCGCUCGUACACUGCGGUUCCUGCGCGCCGCACACACCCACCUGACAGCCGCUCGCGACGUUUUGUCAGCC